UAUAUCAGUAUAUGUAUUUAUACACACAACGCAGCCUUUAAUUUGGCUUCAUAAAUUGGUGUUUAUUUGUGAAAUAGUUGAUGUGCAGGCAAACUGGUUGCUAAUUUGCAAGCCUUUGAUUGCAGCGAUUAAAAAGUAAUUUUGUUUUGAUUGUGCCCUUUUGAGGAAUGGUUUUUUCAGUCAGUCUUAGAAAAAAGAAGCUAGUCAAAUUUCUAAGUAAUUUGUAAUCCAAUUCAACAAUUCCAAGAUUAAUGGGAGCACCAAUAAGAAAAGUUUUGCCAGUUUCGUUAGCUGAGGGUAUUCUUAAUAUUUGGAGUUUAUUUUUAGGCAGUAGAAUUUCAUAUUACUCCUAGCUGUUUACCCUGUUUACGUGGAGUUUUCUUAACAUUGGAAGGUGUUUUCUUAUACUUCAACUCUUCACCAUCCAAUUCUUGUAUAUAUCUCUUUUUUUCUUUUUAGGAUGAUCACAUGGUAAGUCCCUGUAUUUUACGUAUCGCUCUCCUAUUUUUCGCUCUUAUCUCUUGGUUAUUGUUAGUUGUAACAUGUGAAACUCUCACGAGCGCAAAAAUCCCAAUAGUUAAAACUUUGACACUUGUUCUCUAUUUGCUCUUAGCUCUCACUUCUCUUCCCAAAUCUAGCAAGGCCUUCCCUGACCACCCUCUCUUAUCUAAGCAUUACAGAUGUGCCAACUUAGACUAUCAAUAAGAGAUAAAUAUUGUCUGGACAGAUCUGUGCAAUUCAAUUAGUGGCUUAACUGUGGCAAAAAAGAUUAUGGAGCUUACUUACAAGUCACCAUUGUCUUGUUUACAAUAACAACAAACUCAGUAUAAUCCCACAAGUGGGGUCUUGGGAGGGUAGUGUGUUCGCAGACAAACCCACUAUUGUCUUGUUUACGUGUUUAAAAUAAAUGUUGGAGGUCAUGGCUGUUUUGGUGGUGCUUUUAGCCGUUAGUGUUAAAGGUUUCGACAUUGACGUCUAUCCGGGUGAUGCUAAGGCAGCUGUAUAUAUACCAUAUCUGGAUUUUGAGAAAGAAGCUGACAUGCUGAUGGAACUGGCUAACCAUGCUAUUCAGGAGUAAAACAAUAGGAAAACCAGUGUUCACAAGUACAAUGUUUUGAGUAUUGAAAAAGUUAAUUUCAUUUUUGCCGAAUGUCGUGAAUUUUUUAUAACUAUUAAAGUUAUCAAUCUGACUAUGCGUACACCUCUAGAAACUUUUCAAAUCCAUGCAUAUAAAGGACCACAUGAGGAGAAUAUUGCCCGUCUUUGCAGAAAAAAAAAAAUCUGAUAUGAGUUGGUUUAUCUGCUAAGCUGAAUCGGGGGAAGCAUCACAGGAGGCAAAGGAUUAAGGAAGAGAGUUAACCAUUGGUUUCUUAAAUAUUCAAUUAAAGAACUUAAUAUUGAUUAACCUCUUUAUUAGUUGUGGAAGUAUUUGAUAAAUAUUAUAGUUGCCUAAAUUAAGUAGUAUGUUUUACGGUUACUCUUCUUGUUAUAUAUUAUGAUUUGGACCACUAAAGUGGAAUUUUGUUCACUUGAAUGGUUCAUGUUUUUAGUCAAGUAAUACUCAAUGUUAUAAAGUUUAACUUUUUGUUAGA